GAUGAACGCUGGCGGCGUGCCUAACACAUGCAAGUCGAGCGAACGGACGAGAAGCUUGCUUUUCUGAUGUUAGCGGCGGACGGGUGAGUAACACGUGGAUAACCUACCUAUAAGACUGGGAUAACUUCGGGAAACCGGAGCUAAUACCGGAUAAUAUUUUGAACCGCAUGGUUCAAAAGUGAAAGACGGUCUUGCUGUCACUUAUAGAUGGAUCCGCGCUGCAUUAGCUAGUUGGUAAGGUAACGGCUUACCAAGGCAACGAUGCAUAGCCGACCUGAGAGGGUGAUCGGCCACACUGGAACUGAGACACGGUCCAGACUCCUACGGGAGGCAGCAGUAGGGAAUCUUCCGCAAUGGGCGAAAGCCUGACGGAGCAACGCCGCGUGAGUGGUGAAGGUCUUCGGAUCGUAAAACUCUGUUAUUAGGGAAGAACAUAUGUGUAAGUAACUGUGCACAUCUUGACGGUACCUAAUCAGAAAGCCACGGCUAACUACGUG
rnacentral:rRNA from 1 species